rnacentral:rRNA from 1 species
GACGAACGCUGGCGGCGUGCUUAACACAUGCAAGUCGAACGGAAAGGCCCUGCUUUUGUGUGGUGCUCGAGUGGCGAACGGGUGAGUAACACGUGAGUAACCUUCCCUUGACUUUGGGAUAACUUCAGGAAACUGGGGCUAAUACCGGAUAGGAGCUCCUGCUGCAUGGUGGGGGUUGGAAAGUUUCGGCGGUUGGGGAUGGACUCGCGGCUUAUCAGCUUGUUGGUGGGGUAGUGGCUUACCAAGGCUUUGACGGGUAGCCGGCCUGAGAGGGUGACCGGCAACAUUGGGACUGAGAUACGGCCCAGACUCCUACGGGAGGAAGCAGUGGGGAAUAUUGCACAAUGGGCGGAAGCCUGAUGCAGCAACGCCGCGUGCGGGAUGACGGCAUUCGGGUUGUAAACCGCUUUCGCCUGUGACGAAGCGUGAGUGACGGUAAUGGGUAAAGAAGCACCGGCUAACUACGUG